GUCCUAACCCCAUCCGAGAUAUUUUCUCUGGUGGAUAUGGAUGAAAACCCCGAUAAAGAUACUGAACACCACGUUCAGCCACUCUUUAUCGGGUCACAUCGGGAAACUGGUGUGGGGGCCGCAAGGCUUC
rnacentral:sRNA from 12 species